UUGAUACGGCCUUAAUUAUAGACGCAGAACUCCAGCAGCGGCGCAGAACGACGGGAAGGAGUAAGAAAGAAAAAUGCAGAAACGGAAAUGGAGACAAAAAGCUACAGAUUAGUUUCUUCUCCAAUCAACCCACAGGCGUUGCUAAUUACUACUAUGCUUCUUCGAUCACCACCGAUUAGAGGGUGACAAUGAAUCCAUCAACCCCAACUCCCGAAGAUUUCUCUUCUCUUCCUCUCGAAUUCAUUCCAUAUCCUCCUCUUCCUGAUCCCACUCCUAAUCCCAAUUCAAUUCCUAAUCCCACUCUUUCCCUCAAUUCUAAUCCUAACCACUUCUUCUCCUUCUCCGUCCCUAAGAAACGCCGUCGCGGUCGCUCCCAACGCUCCGCCACUACCUCUGCGACGUCGUUUCAGCUUCCUCAGUUUCCUUCUCUUCCUACCAAACCCAAUGUCCGUGUUGUAGAAAACCCUAACCCUAAUUUUAAUCCUAAUUCACUAACUCAACAACCAGUCCCCGACAUCUCUGAAGAGAUCAUUGUAAUCAACAAGGAAUCCACUUCCGAGGCAUUGAUUGCGCUCUCUGCAGGAUUUCCCGCUGAUUCCUUAACCGACGAGGAAAUUGACGCUGGUGUAGUUUCUGUUAUUGGAGGAAUUGAGCAGGUUAAUUACACCAUUAUCCGAAACCAUAUCAUUGCGAAAUGGCGCGAAAAUGUGAACAGUUGGGUAACCAAAGAAAUUUUCACAGAUUCGGUGCCGAAACACUGUCAUGGCCUUCUGGAUUCUGCUUAUGACUAUUUAGUUUCGCGUGGCUACAUCAAUUUUGGAGUCUCACAAUCUAUCAAAGAGAAAAUCCCCAAUGAGUUUACUAAGUCUAAUGUAAUCAUCAUCGGCGCUGGUUUGGCUGGAUUGGCAGCUGCAAGACAGUUGAUGAGGUUUGGGUUUAAGGUUACAGUAUUGGAGGGAAGAAAACGGGCUGGUGGGAGAGUUUAUACCAAGAAAAUGGAGGGAGGGGGAGGAAAUAAGGUUACUGCUUCGGCAGAUUUAGGUGGGAGUGUUUUGACAGGGACUCUGGGAAAUCCAUUGGGAAUUUUGGCAAGACAAUUAGGGCAUUCGUUGCACAAGGUGAGAGAUAAAUGCCCACUCUAUGGUGUUGAUGGGAAGCCAGUCGAUUUGGAUACUGAUAUGAAGGUUGAAACAGCUUUUAAUCGAUUGUUGGAUAAGGCUAGUAGACUUAGGCAGUUGAUGGGGGAGGUUGCAAUGGAUUUGUCCUUAGGGGCAGCAUUAGAAACUUUUAGGCAGGUGUAUGGGGAUGCAGUAAAUAAGGAGGAAAUAAACUUGUUUAAUUGGCAUUGUGCAAAUUUGGAAUAUGCCAACGCUGGUUUGUUGUCAAAGCUUUCACUGGCGUUUUGGGACCAGGAUGAUCCCUAUGAUAUGGGAGGAGAUCAUUGUUUUAUGCCUGGAGGGAAUGGGAGGUUGGUUCAGGCUUUAGCAGAGAAUGUGCCAAUUUUGUAUGAGAAGACCGUGCAUACUAUUAGGUAUGGGAGUGAUGGGGUGCAGGUUAUUUCUGGAAGUCAGGUUUUUGAAGGAGAUAUGGCAUUGUGUACAGUUCCACUCGGGGUAUUGAAGAGUGGGUCCAUAAAGUUUAUUCCUGAAUUGCCGCAGAGGAAGCUUGAUGGGAUAAAGAGGUUGGGGUAUGGGCUGUUGAAUAAGGUUGCAAUGCUUUUUCCUUAUGUGUUCUGGGAAACUGAUCUUGACACAUUUGGACAUUUGACUGAUGACUCAAGCACUCGAGGGGAGUUCUUUUUGUUUUAUAGCUAUACAACAGUUUCUGGUGAUCCACUAUUGAUUGCUCUGGUAGCAGGUGAAGCUGCACAUAAGUUUGAGAGUAUGCCCCCCACAGAUGCAGUGACACAGGUUCUUCAGAUUCUUAAGGGUAUAUAUGAACCAAAGGGAAUCACUGUUCCAGAGCCUAUCCAAACUGUCUGCACAAGAUGGGGUAGUGAUCCUUUUACCCUUGGUUCUUACUCUAACGUUGCUGUUGGGGCAUCUGGAGAUGACUAUGAUAUAUUAGCAGAAAGUGUUGGGGAUGGAAGACUCUUCUUUGCAGGGGAGGCCACCACUAGGCGGUAUCCUGCAACUAUGCACGGAGCUUUUCUCAGUGGUUUGAGGGAAGCUGCAAAUAUAGCUCACUUUGUUAGUGCUCGAACCUUGAGGAUGAAGGUUGGUCGGAGCCCUUCAAAGAAUGCUCAUAACUGUGCUUCCCUUCUUGUUGAUUUAUUUAGGGAGCCUGAUUUAGAAUUUGGGAGCUUUUCUAUCAUUUUUAGUCGAAAGAAUGCUGACCCAAAGUCUACUGCUAUUCUGAGGGUGACAUUUAAUGAGCCUCGAAGGAAAAGUCAGGAAAGUUGUGGGCCAGGCCAACAACAUUCCAAUAAAUUACUUUUUCAGCAGCUUCAGUCACAUUUUAAUCAGCAGCAGCAGCUUCAUGUUUUCACAUUGUUAUCAAAACAACAAGCUUUUGAGCUACGAGAGGUGAGAGGGGGUGAUGAAAUAAGGUUGAAUUAUCUCUGUGAGAAGCUAGGAGUGAAGCUGGUGGGAAGAAAGGGUCUGGGGCCUGCAGCUGAUUCUCUUAUAGCUGCUAUUAAAGCUGAGAGGGGCAGUCGCAAAGCCAUGCCAACUUCUUUGGCUCUUAAAGUGGGCUCUUUGAAGGGGCCAUCAAAGCUAAAAGCAGGCACUUUGAAGCAGAAAUUGAUAAGGCGGGCUAAAGUAGUGAGUAACAGCAAUAGGUUGGUUCUCCCUCCCAAUUCAAAUGUAGUACACGGUGAAGUGCCAGAGGAAAAUUUGACUGCAAAUCAGACACAUUCUGAAAUAUCUGUUCUAGGGCAAAGUCAAGUUGACGGGUCGAAGAAUGAGCAGAUGACACCUUUUGGCUGACAGUUGAGAGGUUGUGUAACUACUAAUGAUGCUAGGAUUGGUAUGCUGCUUACAUUACUAAAGUCUGGAUACUGGUUUUAUCCACUUGAAUUUGUUUGUGACUCAUGAACCUAUCAACAAGGGCCAGUUGAACCACUUCUAAAAGUACUACUCCUCACUAUUUUAAGAUAACCGUGCAGGCUGCCAGCUUUAUUAUCUACCAUCUGCAGUAUCCUUCAUUAGAAAGCUCCAAUUCUUUAAAGUCUGUUAGAGAAGUGCAGCAGAGACCCUGGACAACUGCAGGCUCUAGGCUGAUCAGAUACUGUGCAGAGGCUAUGCUGCAGAGGGGCAAUGCGAUUGAAUUACCUGCCUCCCUGUUAAGCUAGUCACCAGUUUGACUCUGGUGUGUGGAGAUGACUCGGAUGUGGUUUUGCUUUGAAAACAAGUAACUUGAUCAUGGACAUUUGAUCCUCCUAAUCUUUAUUUUGAUGUAGCUUGGUGUUGCUUUGACACAAUGGAAAGAAUUUGGGACAUUGUCAUAUCCAUGUUUGGGGAAGUAAAAUGAGAUCUCAAAUUUGCUUUAUUGAUGUCAAAUGUUGAGAAAGGUUGGAACUCUUUAGAUUUGGAGAUUGCUUCGUGGAGGCUUGUGCUGCAUUUUGUUGUUGAUCAAGGCUCCUGACCAGGUUCAGCUCCAAGGACAAGUUGACUAUCAUUGAUAUCAAACCUUAACAAACUAGCAACUCUUUUGAUGUGGGAAAGUGCUGCAAAAUCAUACCCAUGUUUCAAUUAUUUAUUGGUGAAUAUUUGAAGUGAUGCUAAGUGAAAACAGGGGAUUGAAAAAGGGUAGACGGUGUUAUUUAUUUUCGUAAAUUCUCAAAAACUCAUUUAGACUUUCUCCUAGAUGGUUGAGCUAUCAUUCAGGAUUUUUUCUCAUUCAGAGACGGUGGAUUAUUAUCGUGUUCUUGCUUUCCAAUACGCAUUGCAAUGUCAUUAUUUUUUUUUUUUAAAGAUGCAUAGAAUAUUAAAAUCUUGAUGUAUUAAAACAAGGCCGCAAUUCAACUGUAGACCAUUGUAAAGCAUGUUCUUUAAAUCCUGUUUAGGUUUGAGGAUGAAACUUGCUUUCUGAUAAAAGUGUACUUAUAAAGACUUGUGUGGUUGAAAAUA